rnacentral:rRNA from 1 species
AGUGAACGCUGGCGGUAGGCCUAACACAUGCAAGUCGAACGGCAGCACAGUAAGAGCUUGCUCUUACGGGUGGCGAGUGGCGGACGGGUGAGGAAUACAUCGGAAUCUACUUUUUCGUGGGGGAUAACGUAGGGAAACUUACGCUAAUACCGCAUACGACCUACGGGUGAAAGCAGGGGAUCUUCGGACCUUGCGCGAUUGAAUGAGCCGAUGUCGGAUUAGCUAGUUGGCGGGGUAAAGGCCCGCUAAGGCGACGAUCCGUAGCUGGUCUGAGAGGAUGAUCAGCCACACUGGAACUGAGACACGGUCCAGACUCCUACGGGAGGCAGCAGUGGGGAAUAUUGGACAAUGGGCGCAAGCCUGAUCCAGCCAUACCGCGUGGGUGAAGAAGGCCUUCGGGUUGUAAAGCCCUUUUGUUGGGAAAGAAAAGCAGCAGGUUAAUACCCCGCUGUUCUGACGGUACCCAAAGAAUAAGCACCGGCUAACUUCGUG